UACGAAGGGGGCUAGCGUUGCUCGGAAUCACUGGGCGUAAAGGGUGCGUAGGCGGGUCUUUAAGUCAGGGGGGAAAUCCUGGAGCUCAACUCCAGAACUGCCUUUGAUACUGAGGAGCUUGAGUCCGGGAGAGGUGAGUGGAACUGCGAGUGUAGAGGUGAAAUUCGUAGAUAUCGUAAGGAAGACCAGUGGCGAAGGCGGGUCUCUGGACAGUUCCUGACGCUGAGGCACGAAGGUCAGGGGAGCAAACGGG
rnacentral:rRNA from 1 species